UGGGGAAUAUUGCGCAAUGGGCGAAAGCCUGACGCAGCGACGCUGCGUGAGGGAUGAAGGUUUUCGGAUCGUAAACCUCUGUCAGAAGGGAAGAAACCGCACUGUGCUAAUCAGCAGUGCCUUGACGGUACCUUCAAAGGAAGCACCGGCUAACUCCGUGCCAGCAGCCGCGGUAAUACGGAGGGUGCAAGCGUUAAUCGGAAUUACUGGGCGUAAAGCGCACGUAGGCUGCUUUGUAAGUCAGGGGUGAAAUCCCACGGCUCAACCGUGGAACUGCCUUUGAUACUGCUUAGCUUGAAUCCGGGAGAGGGUGGCGGAAUUCCAGGUGUAGGAGUGAAAUCCGUAGAUAUCUGGAGGAACAUCAGUGGCGAAGGCGGCCACCUGGACCGGUAUUGACGCUGAGGUGCGAAAGCGUGGGGAGCAAACAGG
rnacentral:rRNA from 1 species